AAAUAUGAUGUUGGGAGCAGAUGUUUAAAAAUAAAGUUUGAUUUAGCAUCCUUCUUUUCAGAAAAGAAAAUGACCAAGAACUUGUAAAGAUUUGUCUCACUCCAACUGGUGCUGCACUUAGGGCAAGCAUAUUUAAAGGGUACAGCAGGGACAUCAAGCUCUCAAAAGUACUCAAAAAAUGAAGUUGCAACGCACCAUAUUUAAACUCCAUAUUUAUAAACCCACUGCCAUGAAGGUAAUUCCAACAUCAAUACAAGGAAAUACUCCCAGGACAACAGAGACCACAAACUAGGGUAGGUAAUAGACAUAAGCUGUGGCAUAGGUUCAUAAUAUUGCCAAUGAAUUAUUUAGGAGAUA
rnacentral:lncRNA from 1 species